CAGUGGUGUAGUUUUGUAAAUUUCUUUUGGCCCUUUGAGGCUGUUGUUGCGGAGUCCAGGAUCAGAACUAUGCUGAUCUGGUGGAUUAUCCAGCUGAGUGCUGCUGCAGGAGAGAUCAUUCCCCACAGCACUGGAAGAAAGAUGGGAAGAGGACA